rnacentral:rRNA from 1 species
AACGAACGCUGGCGGCAUGCCUAACACAUGCAAGUCGAACGAGACCUUCGGGUCUAGUUGCGCACGGGUGCGUAACGCGUGGGAACCUGCCCUUAGGUUCGGAAUAACUCCCCGAAAGGGGUGCUAAUACCGGAUAAUGUCUUCGGACCAAAGAUUUAUCGCCUUUGGAUGGGCCCGCGUUGGUUUAGCGAGUUGGUAGGGUAAAAGCCUACCAAGGCGUCGAUCCAUAGCUGGUCUGAGAGGAUGAUCAGCCACACUGGGACUGAGACACGGCCCAGACUCCUACGGGAGGGAGCAGUGGGGAAUAUUGGACAAUGGGGGAAAGCCUGAUCCAGCUAUGCCGCGUGAGUGAUGAAGGCCUUAGGGUUGUAAAGCUCUUUUACACGGGAUGAUAAUGACAGUACCGGGAGAAUAAGCACCGGCUAACUCCGUG